CCUUCCUAAGGCCUGCGUUGAGUCCCGUUCUCUUGGCCUUCUGGCCUUACUCUAAUUUGUUCUCAUUUGUUUUGUCACUUACUGGGACCCUCUGGACUAUGAGUUUCAGGAAGAUGGUGCCUGAGGAAGGCAUUUGUUUGUUUUUGUUUUCUGACUUCUUGUCUUGCUUGGCUUUGUCAGGAGCAGCCUCUGCAGAUACGCGGAGUAAGUCCAGGGGUGCGGAUUGAGAUGGCCCAGGGCCACAGGCCACGGAGAGGGGGCUCAUUUCAGGGCCACCACUGUAUUUCAGAGCAUCCAGCUUAGUCCAAGUCCGAUGGGGCAGAAGGAGGGUAAGCCAUGAGGACGGUGACCUUCCAGGUCUUGGAAGAUCCCACGCAGGGCAAGACAGGUUGGGCCAGCACUUGGCUGGAGUGGCACCCGAGGGUUACACCUGGGAAAAGGUAACGGUGGCAGGUGCGCAGCAGGGUGCAAGAGGAGGGGUAAUUUGGUCAAUUUUGCCCAGUAAGAGCUUUUCAUUGGUGACUUCCUCUGCUCCGUGGGGCACAGGUUUGGGGCCCUGGCGUUGGAAACGUCUCUGGGUAACUGUGUCUUCAGUGAGUGGUGUCUGACUUCCGUGGGUGUUUUUAAGGCAGAGUUCGCCUCUCACCCUUCCAACUGUUCAUUCACUCACAGGUUCAACAAAGCUGUGCCGGAGUGGUCGCCAGGCGGUGGGGAAGAGGCAGAUGGAGCUUCCUCCUCCUGGAGAUCACUGUCCUGUGGUUGAUACGGACAUGGUGACAGACGGCAGGACAGAGCUCCUGGGAGACAGAUGAGGACCUCUAAUCCACCCUGGGGAGGCUGGGCCUGGGGACGGCUUCCAGAAGAGAUGGCAUUUAAGCUUAAUCUUCAAGCUUGGGCAGGGAGGGGGCCACGUGGAGGAGUCAUGGGAGGAGGUCACAGCCGGCCAGGGAGGUGCUGUGGCUCUGUCUGCUGGGCUUGGAGCUGCCUCCGUAGGGACAGCAACAGCGGGAGGCAGGAUGGAGGCCCAGCCAGGGGAGGCAGGAUGGAGACUUUGAGGCCAGGUGGAGGGAGGGACUUGGUUUUGUCCGGCAUGUCUGGAAGACCAAGGAAAGUACCUGAGCAGGGCGUGGGGUGAGGGGAGGGUGUGAGGAAGGCUCUCUGGGCAGGAAGUGGGGCUGUCUGCAGAUGGAUCAGCAGCUCUGCUCAUGCCAGGGGCUUCACAAGGCAGCUCCUGAAGUGGACGGCCUGGUGAGAAAGGACCCAUGGGCUCACAGAGGACUCACAGACAGGACGGUCUGCACCUGGGUGGCACACACCUGCCCCAGGGCAAGACAGGGCUGGGUUAGGAAUUUCCAAGGAGUUCCUGAAGCAGACACUACCAGCUCCUGGUGGGUAUUUCCCAAGGGGAGCGUGGCUUUGGGGCUUAUCUGAGACACUGUGUCUUUGUGCUGCUGUCAGUGUGGGGAAGUCAUCCCGAACCCAGGCCUCUUCUUCAGUUCCUCUCUACCUCCCAAGAGCUCCUGACUCCUGGUACCACUGACUCAUGCCUGGGGGUGGCUGUGGGCAUGCAACACCCAGGGGCAGGGGACCUGUUACCUCUGCAGAACGGGGAGCUUUCCUGUAGAUGGAGCUGGGUGGAAGGGUGACUUCUACCCUUGGAAGUCUUGCAGGGGACUCUGCGAGAUGAAUAGUGCCACCGUAUUCGCAGGUGUGAGAAGCACAGAGACCAUCUCCGGGAUGAAUGGAGAUUUUUAAAAACUGUCUUAAAGUUAAAAACUUAUGCAUUAUUACAAAAGUGAAAAAAAAUAAAGAAACAUACAGAAUAAAAAGCCCUACAUUAUUGAAUUUUUCUAUCCUAUCCCACUGUGUCCUCUCA
rnacentral:lncRNA from 1 species